AUUGAACGCUGGCGGCAUGCCUUACACGUGCCAAUCGAACGGUAACGGGCCUUCGGGUGCCGACGAGUGGCGGACGGGUGAGUAAUACAUCGGAACGUGCCCGAUCGUGGGGGAUAACGAGGCGAAAGCUUUGCUAAUACCGCAUACGAUCUACGGAUGAAAGCAGGGGACCGCAAGGCCUUGCGCGGACGGAGCGGCCGAUGGCAGAUUAGGUAGUUGGUGGGAUAAAAGCUUACCAAGCCGACGAUCCGUAGCUGGUCUGAGAGGAUGAUCAGCCACACUGGGACUGAGACACGGCCCAGACUCCUACGGGAGGCAGCAGUGGGGAAUUUUGGACAAUGGGCGCAAGCCUGAACCAGCCAUGCCGCGUGCAGGAUGAAGGCCUUCGGGUUGUAAACUGAUUUUGUACGGAACGAAAAGCCUUCUUUUAAUACAGGAGGGUCAUGACGGUACCGUAAGAAUAAGCACCGGCUAACUACGUG
rnacentral:rRNA from 1 species